GACGAACGCUGGCGGCGUGCUUAACACAUGCAAGUCGAACGGAAAGGCCCUGCUUUUGUGGGGUGCUCGAUUGGCGAACGGGUGAGUAACACGUGUGUAACCUGCCCUUGACUUUGGGAUAACUUCAGGAAACUGGGGCUAAUACCGGAUAUGAGCUCCUGCUGCAUGGUGGGGGUUGGAAAGUUUCGGCGGUUGGGGAUGGACUCGCGGCUUAUCAGCUUGUUGGUGGGGUAGUUGCUUACCAAGGCUUUGACGGGUAGGCGGCCUGGGAGGGUGGACGGGCAAAAUGGGAAUGAGAGACGGGCCAGAAUACAAAGGGAGGCAGCAGUGGGGAAUAUUGCACAAUGGGCGGAAGCCUGAUGCAGAAAAGCCGCGUGCGGGAUGACGGCCUUCGGGUUGUAAACCGCUUUCGCCUGUGACGAAGCGUGAGUGACGGUAAUGGGUAAAGAAGCACCGGCUAACUACGUG
rnacentral:rRNA from 1 species